UAAUAUUUUAUGUUUCAUUAUUUCAGCUUCACGGAAAAUUACAAGAAAAUCUGAAGAUGAUGAUUUCGUGAAAUUCAAAAAUGAGGUUGAAGUAGUGGGAUUAAAGAAAACAAAAUUACAAAUGUAUCUUGAGGAAACAUGCUGUGUGGAGGAUGAUGAACUGCAGUUCGAUAUAUUACAAUGGUGGAUGCAAAAUGGAACAAAGUACAGAGUUUUGGCUCUUAUGGUAAAGGAUGUGUUGGACAUUCAAAUGACUACGGUAGCAUCUGAAGCUGCAUUUAGUACCGGGGGUCGUGUUGUUGAUGAUAAUCGAAGUCGAUUAUUACCAUCCACAAUAGAAGCCUUGAUUUGCACUGGAAAUUGGAUAAGAGGAUCAGAUCCACUUGAAAAUCAAGAAGAUGUUGUAAGUUCAUGUUUCUAUUAUUAUUAUUUUUUUUGCUAUAAUAAUUCUUUCUUGUUCAAAGUUCUAAUUAACUUCUUGUUUUUUAGGAUGAUGACAUGCUGGUUUUUAAUCAACAAGAAUAAAAAAUGACAAAAGAUUGAUUUAACAAGAGAAAUUAGACUAUAAACAAUUUUUUUUUUCAAAAUUGGUCAGAUGGACAUGUUUAUUUUUUUAAUGUUUAUUUUUAAAAUGACGUAAAAAAAAUUCAGUAUUCGACGAACUAUUCUAUUCGGUUCGGGUUCGGGUUCGGAUAGGUUCGGUUAAUAAACGAACCGAACCCAAACCCAAGAGUAGACUCGUUUAUUUAAACGAACCAAACCAAAUACUUAGGUAUUCAGUUCGGUAGGCUCGAGUUGCAACGCUAUUGGCGAUAUUUCAUUCACACAAGUAUAGCAUUUAUUGAGUAGACAAGUCAUUAUUGAGUAUGUGUUUUGGGCAUUUACUUGCUUAUUAAAUGUAUGAUUUAGCCUUAAUGGCAGUUUAGCAUGUACACAUGAUGAUGGGAACAUUUCCUUCAAAUAUGCAGAGUUCAUCAUUUCCCUAAAUCAUUUGAAUGAUGCAGGGUUCAUCAUUUCAUUCAGGCAUGCAUGAUAAAGUGGGUAAAUCAUUUUUGAACAUGCAUCAAGGAAACUUAACGUAUGUAUGAUGCAGAGUUCAUACAUGACAUUCAGAAGUGUAAGUAAGAUAUAUAUGACAUGAUGCAUAAGCAAGUGAUUUCCCUAAAUCUCAAACAUGUGUUGGGUGCAUGCAUGGCAUCUAGAGAUGUAAACAGGAUAUGUAUGGCAUGAUGCAUGACAGAGCAAGAAAUUUUCCUAAGUUUAAGCAUGAUUUUACCCCUAAUUUCAGAAUAUAUCAUUAUACUCCUUGCCCCUUCACAAGAGAGGAGGUUGGAGUCCGUGAACGGAGGAGGCACUUUGACAAGUCAGAUAUCUGAGUGUGGAUUGGAGUCGGUGAGUCCAGAUCGGAGUCUAGCCGGAGAUUUGAGUCUGAGAUGAGGUCCUAGUGAUCGGAGGUCAGAGCCAGAGGUGAUCGAGGUCCUUGAGCCCGGAUAGCUCUGAUACCAUGAAGAAUCCGUAAACAGCGUGUGGUGAUGUGAAGAAAGCGGUGUGUGAGAGAGAUGAGAAAGAUGAAACGAAGCAAGAUACACACACAAGAGAUGGCCGGCAGAGCCGAUUUUCUGAUAAUAUAUUGAUGAUCGAGAUCUAGAUUAUUAUAGAGUGAAGAAGAUGAGAGUCGAGAGCUCUAGGGAUUUGAAUAUCUGAGAAGUUAUUUUCUGUCGG
rnacentral:lncRNA from 1 species